GUGUGCGCGCAGGUGCUAAGAGCUGUAGACGCUAGGACGAGCCCGGCUAGGCUCUGGCCCCCCUGGUUUCCCCGUGGAGGUGGCAAGAGGGUGAGAGAAGGAGGCGUAUGGAGGAGAGCCCGAGCUCGGGAGAAGGAGACUCACAAGCCGUUGCAGUGAACGCGCAGAGCGCGGGAAGGCUGAAAGCAUUGCCAGGGAGAAUCUAGGGGUGCUGGGCAAGACCUGUCAUAGCUUCAGAUUAGAUGAGUCGCUUUCUGCGACCGUGUGCAUCUGUGAUUAUCACUGUGUGAUCCUGAGAGAGGUCCCAGGAAUCUAACGCAGGCUGUCAGGCUUGGCAGCAGGUACCCUUACCGACGUCAUCACAGGCAAAGAAACAGGCAGCCUGGCUGAGUUCAUUUCUAUCUGCUUUUGAUUGCGGACAGAGGCUUCGAGUUCCAGCCUUGACUUCCCACCAUGGUGACUGUAAUGUGAAAUGUACACAUUUUUCCUCUUUUCUGAGUCGAUUUGGCUUAGAGUGUUUUACCAUAGCAACAGAAAUGAAUCCAAAACCACGGCAUUGACUGCGUCCGCAUGGCUGUGAAACCAUCACCAUCAUCCACACCCAUCUAAUGGUAGCUUGCAUCCCCACCCCAACUCCUGGCAAUCAUCACCCCCUCCCCCAACCCACCCGCAUUUCCUGUCUCAGUCAAUUCAACUGUUGGAGGAAGUAGAUUAUUGUUCCUUUGGAGACUGAGGGCUUCACUAUGUCUUCAAGGUUCUUCUGUGCCACUGAAUGCUCCAGGAGUCCAUCCAUUGUAAAGACACAGACUAUUCCGUAUGUAUUCCACAUUCGUAUAACGGUGUGACCCUAUCACUGGUUCUAUUGUGUCCAUUGCCCGUGCUGCUGCAGUGAACACACGCGCACACACACACCUGCUUUCGGUUAUUUGGGAUAUGUCCAGACUCGGACUUGUUGGACUGUGAUGUGACUGUCAUUUUAAUUUUUGAGGAGUCACUGGGCUAUUUCCACCACAAACACUUCCAUUUCACAUUUACAAUUCUCCCCAUACCAGUCAAAAGUUGCUAGUUUAUGGAUUUUGUUAUUUGAUUUGUUGAGUUUUGAAAAUAUAAUAGCUAGCCUAAUGAAUGUGAGGUUGUUUUUUAAAUUGUGGUUUGAAUUUGCAUUGCUAAUGAUCAGUGAUAAUGAGCAUAUUUUCAUAUGCUUUAUUGCCCAUUUGUUUAUCUUGUUGGACAAAUGUCUAUUCAAGCCCUUUGCCUAAUUUUAAAUCAAGAGGGGGUAGUGUUGUAGUUGCUAUGAUUAAGUUACAGGACUUCCUGGAUUUCUUAUAAAGAUUUAUUGUAGUGUGUGUGUGUGUGUGUGUGUGUGUGUGUGUGUGCGCGCGCCCAUGAGAGUGCACAUGGCCUUGGAAGGCAGAAGAGGGCAUUGGAUCCACUGGAACUGGAGUUACAGGCAGUCCUGAGCUGCCUGACAUUUGUGCCAGAAAUUGAAUUCAGGUUGUUUGCUAGUGUGGUCAGUACAUGUUCUCACCCACUGAGCCACCUUUCCAGCCCCAGGUCAUCUAGUUCUCCUGUCAGUGCCUCAUCAGACGUACACUUGCAAAUGGCUUCCCGUUGAUUCUGUAGCUGGCCUUUUCCCUCUGCUGACGUUCCUUUGCUAAACAUUUCUUUUGAAGUUUGCUGUCACCCAAUCUUUCUAUUUCUUGUUUGUUGCCGAUGCUUCCAUUAUUGCAUUUUGCCAGGCUUUUUUAUAGGGUAAUAAAAAAAUAAAGAACAUGCACAGUG
rnacentral:lncRNA from 1 species